rnacentral:rRNA from 1 species
UACGUAGGGGGCGAGCGUUAUCCGGAAUUAUUGGGCGUAAAGCGCGCGCAGGCGGUCGAUUAAGUCAGGUGUGAAAGGCUGCGGCUCAACCGCAGAGCGGCACCUGAAACUGGUCGACUUGAGUGCAGGAGAGGGGAGUGGAAUUCCCGGUGUAGCGGUGGAAUGCGUAGAGAUCGGGAGGAACACCAGUGGCGAAGGCGGCUCUCUGGCCUGUAACUGACGCUGAGGCGCGAAAGCGUGGGGAGCAAACAGG